ensembl:lncRNA
CCAAAGGUUCUGUACAGCUGUAAUCAGACAACCCAACAUUUGUCCCAUCCAGAUAUUUAUAUCCCACUUAAGACACUCCCUCUCUCCAAUCCUUACAGUAUAUGCCCAACAGGAAGAAGGUAACCAGAUAAGAAACCCUGAUUACUGACCUCAACCCCUCCUUCACCUAAUCCCCAGAUGUCAAUCUGUCUUCCCUAUAUCAAUACUUCGCCCUCCUCUCCUCCUGACCUCAACCCCUCCUUCACCUCAUCCCCAGAUGUCCAUCUGUCUUCCCUAUAUCAACACUUCGCCCUCCUCUCCUCCUGACCUCAACCCCUCCUUCACCUCAUCCCCAGAUGUCCAUCUGUCUUCCCUAUAUCAACACUUCGCCCUCCUCUCCUCCAUCAAACACAUUCUACAGAACCCUUAACUUUCUCCUUUGAUUCUAUGCUUCUUCUCUAUCAUUUAUUUAAUAUCUCAAUGUUCAAAAUGUCGAAUCCAACACCAAUAUACAUAUGGAAUUGUUUGGUCUUUUUCAGGGAGACAGAUGUAGUUAAUACUCUUAAUGCAGACACAGAAUGAUCCAGAAAAUGGGCUGAAAAGAGAGGAACAAUAAGAGAAAACAGUGCUGUAUUUUCCACCAAUAUGGACUGGGUGGUGUUAUGUUAUCGUUUGUUUUACAGUAUCGUUGUUACUUUUGUUCUUAGGUUGACAAGAUAAGAGGGAAAAGUCCAAUUAAAGGUGUAGCUUUCUCAGAGUGGAAUCAAGACGACAGGGGCAGGCAUCAACAGAGCUUUGGUGCUGGCAGCUACUGUAUGUAUGUACGUUAGCUGAAUAUCAGGUUCAGGCAACAUUUUUUCAGGCAACCUAUGCACCUAUGAAAAUGCUCUUGAGUCUUGUCCAGACAUAGCUGAACACUGUUAAACAUCAGAGCUUCAUAAAUUCACUUUAAAUGUUUUCUUUCUCAGUUUGGCUUUUUCCUCUUUUUAUUUUUCUAUGAAUACCUGUUGAAAUGUACAUUUAGACCUUCUUCUUCUGUCUAUUUUAUAUCCUGGGUUAAGAUUCAAUGCACAUAUGUGUCCAAGAACGUGUUGGAACAUUCUUCCUCAUUGUUGUGUAAUCUGUCUGAUGUUGACUGUGUGAAUGUGUGGUUCUACAAUCUGUCUGAUGUUGACUGUGUGAAUGUGUGGUUCUAGAAUCUGUCUGAUGUUGACUGUGUGAAUGUGUGGUUCUAGAAUCUGUC